GACUUUAUAGGUGAACUGAGUCGGAGUGAUGUACAGCUGCAGGUCAAAGAACGGUUUCCAUCCUGGGCCAAAGCUCUCCUGGUUCUCCUGGUUCUUCUUGUGGUUUCUGGAGGUCUUUUAUUUCAUUUCCGGCACUAUUUCAUGUCAGUCCCCCAGGUGGAGGUGGAUUCAGGGGUGGAGUCUGUCCA